AGUCGAGCGAACGGAUAAGGAGCUUGCUCCUUUGAAGUUAGCGGCGGACGGGUGAGUAACACGUGGGUAACCUACCUAUAAGACUGGAAUAACUUCGGGAAACCGGAGCUAAUGCCGGAUAACAUUUGGAACCGCAUGGUUCUAAAGUAAAAGAUGGUUUUGCUAUCACUUAUAGAUGGACCCGCGCCGUAUUAGCUAGUUGGUAAGGUAACGGCUUACCAAGGCAACGAUACGUAGCCGACCUGAGAGGGUGAUCGGCCACACUGGAACUGAGACACGGUCCAGACUCCUACGGGAGGCAGCAGUAGGGAAUCUUCCGCAAUGGACGAAAGUCUGACGGAGCAACGCCGCGUGAGUGAUGAAGGUUUUCGGAUCGUAAAACUCUGUUAUUAGGGAAGAACAAAUGUGUAAGUAACUGUGCACAUCUUGACGGUACCUAAUCAGAAAGCCACGGCUAACUACGUGCCAGCAGCCGCGGUAAUACGUAGGUGGCAAGCGUUAUCCGGAAUUAUUGGGCGUAAAGCGCGCGUAGGCGGUUUCUUAAGUCUGAUGUGAAAGCCCACGGCUCAACCGUGGAGGGUCAUUGGAAACUGGGAAACUUGAGUACAGAAGAGGAAAGUGGAAUUCCAUGUGUAGCGGUGAAAUGCGCAGAGAUAUGGAGGAACACCAGUGGCGAAGGCGACUUUCUGGUCUGUAACUGACGCUGAUGUGCGAAAGCGUGGGGAUCAAACAGGAUUAGAUACCCUGGUAGUCCACGCCGUAAACGAUGAGUGCUAAGUGUUAGGGGGUUUCCGCCCCUU
rnacentral:rRNA from 2 species